GAAUCUUGAUUUAGCCAAGGUGGCACAAUAGACUGUCAGAAUAAUUCUGGUGCAUGUGUGUGUUUGUUUGUUUUGCUUAGUUAUUCAGUUAGUUCGGUGCAUGGCCGAGUCUUCAGGUUGUGAACCGUUGCUAAGUUGUAUCGUUGGUUUAUGUUUGGAAUAGAGUAAACAACACUACCGCAUCGAGCACAGGUUCGUGUGUUCAUCUUGCACUGUGUUUGUGUAUGCCCGCUGAAAUUCUAAGCUCGCUGGCGACAAGUAACUAUCUCGAUCCCCCGGUGAUCUCUGAUGUGGACAGCAUUGAAAGGAAUCAGUAUGUAACACCCCAUCCUCCAAAGCCGCACCGCCCAGAGUAACUAUCUCGAUCCCCCGGUGAUCUCUGAUGUGGACAGUGUUGAAAGGAAUCAGUGUGCUUGUACCUCAAAAGCCGCACCGCCCAGAGUAACUAUCUCGAUCCCCCGAUGAUCUCUGAUGUGGACAGCGUUGAAAGGAAUCAGUGUGCUUGUACGUUUAACACCCCAUCCUCCAAAGCCGCACCGUCCAGUCCUUCCGCGGGGCAGGCACAUUUACACAUAGCACCCUACUUGCACUUUCAUCCUCGCUUUAUAUAAAAAGAUUAAUCCAAAGGUGCUAUGACUAGUGGACAAAAAAUUAUAAGUUGACUCCACCCUUACUCAACUAGCAUUGUGGUACUAAACAUACACACCUGUAUUUGCCGAGCCAUACCCACAUUGGGCCGGAUGUCACAGUACGUAAGCCUAAGAGGGGGUUGAAUUAGGAAAACAUAAUUGAACAAAGAGGAUCCUCAAUUUCUAGACUGCGCAUUUUUUUUUUUGAAACUAUUGUGGAAGUGCAUAUGGGAACGGCCACCAAGAAAAAGUUUUGGUGGUUCAUGAAUUAAUCAUAAAUCAAGAACUAACAACAAGCAAAAUUCGCUCUGAUGAAAACAGAUGGAGUUUGUGACAAACAUUCUUGGAGAAUGCAUGAGUCAGAUACUUGAGAUGCU
rnacentral:lncRNA from 1 species